rnacentral:rRNA from 1 species
GGAUUGCCCUAGUAACGGCGAGUGAAGCGGCAACAGCUCAAAUUUGAAAUCUGGCCCCUGGGCCCGAGUUGUAAUUUGUAGAGGACGCUUUUGGCGAGGUGCCUUCCGAGUUCCCUGGAACGGGACGCCUUAGAGGGUGAGAGCCCCGUACGGUUGGACGCUAAGCCUCUGUAAAGCCCCUUCGACGAGUCGAGUAGUUUGGGAAUGCUGCUCUAAAUGGGAGGUAAAUUUCUUCUAAAGCUAAAUAUUGGCCAGAGACCGAUAGCGCACAAGUAGAGUGAUCGAAAGAUGAAAAGCACUUUGAAAAGAGGGUUAAAUAGCACGUGAAAUUGUUGAAAGGGAAGCGUUUGCGACCAGACCUCUCCCCGGCGGAUCAUCCGGUGUUCUUCACUGGUGCACUUCGCCGGGCAGAGGCCAGCAUCGGUUUCCGCGGGGGGAUAAAAGCUCAGGGAACGUAGCUCCUUCGGGAGUGUUAUAGCCCUCCGCACAAUACCCCCGCGGGGACCGAGGACCGCGCCCCCGGGCAAGGAUGCUGGCGUAAUGGUCGCCAACGACCCGUCUUGAAACACGGACCAAGGAGUCGAACAUUUGUGCGAGUGUUUGGGUGUCAAACCCUCACGCGCAAUGAAAGUGAACGGAGGUGAGAGCCCCUAGGGGUGCAUCAUCGACCGAUCCUGAUGUCUUCGGAUGGAUUUGAGUAAGAGCAUAACUGUUCGGACCCGAAAGAUGGUGAACUAUGCGUGGAUAGGGUGAAGCCAGAGGAAACUCUGGUGGAGGCUCGCAGCGGUUCUGACGUGCAAAUCGAUCGUCAAAUCUGCGCAUGGGGGCGAAAGACUUAUCGAACCAUCUAGUAGCUGGUUACCGCCGAAGUUUCCCUCAGGAUAGCAGUGUUGUUCUUCAGUUUUAUGAGGUAAAGCGAAUGAUUAGGGACUCGGGGGCGCUUUUUAGCCUUCAUCCAUUCUCAAACUUUAAAUAUGUAAGAAGCCCUUGUUGCUUAGUUGAACGUGGGCAUUCGAAUGUACCAACACUAGUGGGCCAUUUUUGGUAAGCA